ACCUUAGGCAAUGGAUGUCUUGGCUUCUUACACGAGGAAGAACGUUGCAUAAUGCGAUAAGCGGCUGGAGUUGCUUACUUUGCGACAAGUUCGAUCUUUGAAUGCACAUUGCGCGCCGUCGAGCUUCGGCUUUGACACGCAUAUAUGGUACAGUAACCCAUAAUAGUUUAAAAAAAUCUCUUUUUACGCAAAAGAGCGAAAAAUUUAUAUGUAACCAACGUAAGGGUUCUGUGCUAUAUAGGAAGACCCGCUGAACUGAAGCAUCUCAUUAAGCGGAGGAAAAGAAACUAACUAGGAUACUCUUAGUAAGUGCGACCGAAGAGAGUAAAGUUCGUCGACCUAAUCCUUUGGGAAAUGUGGUUGAGGGGGCUUUUUGCUAGAGCGUAACUUGUGAUGGUUCACAGGCUAUAAAGAGUUUAAGCCUCGUAGCUUUUGCAAGCUAGGUCCCUGUAAACGAGUCGGGCAGCUUGAGAAUGCUGCCUUAAUUAGGUGGUACGCCCCAUCUAAAACUAAAUACUGUAAGAAGACCGAUAGAGCACAAGUAGUGUGAACGAAAGAUGAAAAGAACUCCCAGACGGAGAGUCAAAAGCGCCUGAACUUGUCUAGGGUGACGUAUUUAUUUAAUACACCCGUCUUGAAACACGGAUUAGGGAGUUUAACUGUAGUACGAGUCUUUGCCUUAUAAAGGUGGAGGCGAAAGGAGACUGACUGGCAUCUGCAUGGCGUCUGAGUACUACUGUUAGAACCCGAAAGGAGGUGAACUAUGCCUGAACAGAUCGAAGCCAGAGGAAACUCUGGUGGAGGAUCGUCCGCGUUAUUGAUGUGCAAAUCAUUUGCUAGAUUUGGGUAUAGGUGCGAAAGACUCAUCGAACCUCCUAAUAGCUGGUUUCCUCCGAAGUUUCCCUAAGGAUAGCUGUAACACUUUUAGUUAAGGGGAGUAGAGACAUGGGUAGAGGUGUAGUGGGGUCCUUGACCCUGCAACUUAUUUCCAAACUUCGAACAUCCUUGCACUAAUUUACCUAAUCGGAAAUUGGUGGUUAAAUAUGUGUUGCAAGUGGGCUCUGACCGGUAAGCGGUCAUGGCGAAAUGGGAUGAACCAAACGUGUGGAUAAGGUGCCUAAUUGUACUACCAAUGAUACCAUUAAGGGAGUCCUUGUAUUUAGACAGCGGGCCGGUGCCCCUAAAAGCAGGUAUCCGCUAAAAAGUGUGUUAAAACUUCCCCGCCGAAUACUCGGGCCUCGAAAAUGAAUGGCGCAUAUAGUACAACCGAUACCGCACAUUACAUCUUUUGAUGUGAGAGUAGGGGGAUGUGGAGAUCUUAUUGAAGGUUUGGGUGCGAACCCGACUCGAAAGAUUUCUAUUACAGAUCCUAAUUGAAGUAGCGAUUAUCCAGGUUAUUAUCCUGGGGGCUGAUGAGGAGUAGGGUUUCUGGGCAACUUAAACAGUCCCAGAGUUAGUCGGUCCUAAUCAGAUUAUUCUGAGAAAGGGAACUCGGUUGAUAUUCCGAGACUAAUACUUCCAUGUGGUAACACUUGGCAAUCUUAUCCGUCGAUUUGACACUCUAUGAUAGGGAUAUCUUUCCUAUAUGACUCGGUUUACGUCCUAGGAAUCAGGUCAACUGGGGAAUAGUUGAUGUAUCUGAGGCAAACUGUGAAUUCGUUCACAGCCAGGGCUGUUGGAUUGAUCCUUGAAGAGAGGAUUGCUUAGGGAGUAUAGCCGUACCGAUGACCGCAUCAGGUCUCCAAGGUGAGAAGCCUAUGGCCAUUGAGGUGUGGUAGUUCAGGGAAUUCGGCCAAUUGGAGCUGUAACUUCGGGAUAAAGCUUGGCUCUGAUGGAAAUCAGAACCGAUAGUUACAAGGAGAGCCCAACUGUUUAAUAAAAACUUAGUCUUGCGCUGUGCUCUUAUAGGCAGUGAACGCAAGAUGAAUCCUGCUCAGUGCUGUGUUUGUUAAUAUGGUUAAAGCCAAUAAAGCGCCGGUAAAUAGCUGGGGUAACUAUGACUCUUAUCAAAGUAGCGAAAUACCUCGUCACUUAAUUAGUGACCUGCAUGAACGGAGCUAUGAGGUUCUCACUGUCCCAAACUAUCUCUCAGCGAACCAUCAGUUGUGGGAACGGGCACAAACUAUCCAGCGGGGAAAGAAGACCCUGUAGAGCUUCACUUUGGUCUAGUCUUGUAUGGUUUCGUCUGGGGUGCAGUCUAGGUGGGAGAGCAAUCGAAUAUGAGAAACCACUACCCGGUCUGGAAUCAUGCUUACCUUAAUCGGGAUAGGAUUAGAUAGAAAGUUUGGCUGGGGCGGCACACCUUCGAAAGCGCAGCGAAGGUGUCCUAAGUUGAGCUCAGUGAGGACAGAAAUCUCACGUCGAGGAUAAGGCCAAAAGCUCAAUUUACUGUGCCUUUUUGUACUAGGACCAGUUUGGAAACAAAGGCCUAACGAUCCCUAAUUAGUCUCAGGUGCGUGAGACUUGGGGUGACAGACAAGUUACCUCCGGGACAACUGGCUUGUGGCUGCUAAGAGAUCAAAUCAACGCAGCUUUUUGAUUCUUCGAUGUCGGCUCUUCCUAUCCUAGUGAUGCACAAGUCACUAAGGGUUGGAUUGUUCACCCGUAUUAGGGAUCGUGAGCUGGGUUUAGACCGUCGUGAGCCAGGUUUGUUUUAUCCUACUGGAUAUUGCAUCAUGAUAGUAGUUUGAUUUAGUACGAGAGGAACUGUUGAAUAUGGCCUCUGGUUCAGGGAUUUUACCAAACCGUCCCGCAGCUACGCCGUCUGGGAUAAUGGCUGAAGGCCUCUUAAGCCAGAAACUCAUCUAGAAAAUGAUGCUCUGCACCUUUCUGACAUGUUAAAAAUAGCUUUUGCUUUCUAAAUGUCUCGGUGUGGGUUAACCAAAUGUAGAAGACGUUUUGUGAACGAGGGUCCUGUACGCAAGGGAGUGGCAUUCCGUCACGACCUGUUGAGGGUCAGCCUUGUUUUUCUUUUUUUUCUUUAUUUUUUUUUUUUCCCAUGUAUUAUAAUAAGUAUUGAUGAUCUAAAUUAUUUAUGAUAAUUGAUUUUGUUUAUACAAUAAAAGGUCCAAUAAACAACAUUUGAAAUAUCAAACCAGAAUUUUGAUGAAUUUUAGUUUUUUGGUUUAUUACUAAAAAGAGAUUAACUACUAACAAAUAUGAUUUUGUUGUGCAAUAUAAAUUACAAAUUCUUUAUAAGAUAUUCUCUAUGUUUUGUGCUUCGCAAAUACUUUCAUGAAAUUUUAAUAAAUUCAAAAACAAAUUAAAUUUUUGCAUAUACAUAUCAAAGCACUGAAUUUAUAUAAGAGCAUAAGCAAAUUUCAAUUAUCUUUUCAAUGAAUUGUAUAUUACAAGCUUAGAAAAUAUUUUAUUUUAUAAAAACAAGUUUUUAAAUAGUUUUUACUCGAAAUGAUGAAUGGUUGUUAGUGAUGAUCAAAAUAAUUAAAUUUCGACAUUAUUUUCAAACCCCUGAUUUCCAAGCAAAAAUUAGAUUUAUUAGAUCUAAAACUUCUAAUAAUUGAAAAAAUAUAAGUGAUAAUAAUCAAAAUAAUAAUCAUUAAUAAUAAUAAUAAUAAUAAUCAUUAAUAAUAAUAAUAAUAAUAAUAAUAAUAAUAAAUAUUUUAGUUUAUUAAGGUAAAUUAGUAUUAAUCGAUUUUUUUAAAUACUUAAAAAUCGCAAAAGUUUUGGUGAGGAGUAAAUUCAUUUCCAUUAUUUUCUCAUUUUCUUUUAUCGCUUUCAUUGUUUUCAUCUUUGGCUGUGGGAAAAUCAAUAUUCUUGCAUUUUUCUUCUAUAACAGAAAAUCUAUUUUCUAAUUCAUUCACCUUAUCUCUUAAAUUAUUUUGUUCCUUCAAUAAAUUCUCAAUUUUUUCAUUAACUUUUCCAACUUCAAAUUUGGAACUAGUGACAUCUCUGAAGUAUGAGCUAAAUUUAGAAGAUAUUGAAUCAAUUAUAGCAAUUUUAAGAUCAGAAUGUACCUUAUCGAUCAUUAAUUUUAAUGUAGAUUUGGAAUCACUUUGUAACAUGGCGAUUCUCUCUUCUAAGUUCCCUUCUAACUGGUCGAAUCUAUCAUUAAUAUUAGUGAAUUUAUUUUCAAAAUCUUCUUUCAUUUUUUUUAAGGUAGUACAAAUAGCAUUGAAAUCAUUUUUAUAUGAGUUAUCUGCCUGACCUGGUUCAUUGUUUUGGCCUGAUGCAUUAUUUGAAUUAUCAUCUGAUAUAUUAUUUUCAAUGUAUGCUUUAGUAAAUUGUUCAUUAGGAUUCAUAUUAGAGUCAAUAUCACUUACAUGCAUCGAUGAGGAAACUUCAGUAUUUUGAGGAAUCUUAUAUGUUCUUGAAUCAAAUUCAUGUUUCUUUUGAUCUAGCAUUUCAUGUCCGGGAGCACCUGAAUCAUUUGUAGAAGGAUUUUUUUCUUGCAUGAUAGUACUCGUUUAAGUGUAAGCUAAAUAAAAAUGAUAUGAAUAUUUAACUAAACGGACUGUAUAUGAAAAAGUUAAACUUUUUCAUAAAAAAUAAAUCACUGCUAUAAAAUUCACCCGGAAAAAUAGCAAGGACGUUUAUCUUGAUACAAGCAAUAUAUUUAUAAUUAUUUAUACAUAGAGGAAAAAGUUGAAUGUAAAAGUGCUUUUAAAAAAUCUAUAUUAUUUUUAUAUAUAAUGAAAAAAUAAAAAAUAGAAAAUUUUAUAAUAUAAUCCUAAAAUUUGCCAAAAAUUGAAUGUUUAAACUUAAAUUCAAAUGUCAGCCCAUUAUUUUUUCUCUCAAUUUAUUUGACAAGAAAAAUAUUUAUUUCAAUUUUAAUAAGCUUUAUUAUUUCUUUUCAAAUUAAUCUUUAAAAUUUUUGUUUUUUCAUUAAUUGAUCAAGGAUCAAUUCAGUACGCAGACAUUUUCAUUAGAUUUCGCCAAUAACUUAAUUCGACUGUGUCUUUUAUUGCUUUUGGUGCCAAAUUAAAGGUUCAAAAAUUAUAAUUAUUGAACAACAAUCUUGCAAUUAGAAGUUACACUUGGAUUUUUGCCCAUACACCAUUAUACUUCUUUGAUUUUUAUGAUUUUUGCUUGACAUUUCCAGUAUUCAGUAUAAAUAUUUCAAAAGCAUACUCAACUCGGCAAAAUUAUUUCAAAUAAAUGCUCCCCUUAUUGAUUUACGUCAUUUUCAAAUAGAUUAUCCAUAUAUUUUUCCUGUUAAUUACACUCUUUUUGAACUAGUUAGUAAAAUUUUAUUUUAAUUCAAUUUUAAUAUAAAAUUUUGAAAAUAAUAACUUUGAAUUGGUUCAAAACUCAGACCAAAAUUGAAUAAAAAAGUUCCCUUUUUUGUAUUAAUACGUUAUAAAAUAACCGCCACCAAGGCCAAUUAUAGUUGAAAGGUGGUCCGACUUUUGAACGGCAGUUUAUUUGUUUUUGAUAAUUGAAAAAAAAAAAAAAAAAAAUGGAAAUCGGAUUUAUCCGCAACAGUUAUGGUCAAUAUUGGCCUUUAUCGUUCUUCAGAAAAUAAAAGCUUGGAACUUUUUUCCACUUUUGCCAAAAAUACAAUGAGUAGCUAAUUGUACUAAUUCUUUUGAGCAUAUUUCUGCAAUCUAUCAAAAAUACAAACUCUUUCUCUGUAUUAGUGACAUCGUUAUAUCCACAUAAUUUUGGAACAAUUGAUACUGCGCAAUAAUCAUAUGAACUAUUUUUAUCUCGAGGAGACAAUAAUAAUGAACUUUCAAUUUCUUCAAUCGUUUCAAAUGUCAUCAUAAUUGAUUGAUUUUUAAUUUUGUUUUGUAUUUUGUUAGCAAUUUUGAAUAUUUUUUGUUUUUUAUCAAAUUGUGCGUUUUUGACAUUUGAUUUAACAUUGCUUAUUUUAUCUUUAUCUGAUUGGAUUUCCAUGAAAAUGUUAGAAUAAACAUUUAGACAAUCAACUGAACCACUUGGUGUAUAAACAUCAAGAGGGAAUUUUAUGAAGAAUGUUCUUCUAUCAGUAAUAACUGCCUUCAAGGCCAUCUUAAUAAUAAUUUUGCAUUCAAUUUGGGGAUUCAAAUUGCCAAUUUUAAAUUCUGUCAAUCCAUCUGCAAUAUUUGAUCCGAAAAAGGCAUAAUUACCUCUAUUAAUAGACUUAUUGUAUAUUUCAAUAGCUUCUUUUCUUUCUCUUAUUAUUGGAUUAAUUAUUUUAUUUCCUAAAACAAAUGUAAUACCGUAAAUGUAUAUUUUCAUAUCAUUCUGGAAAAUAUAGCUAAUCUCUACAUUUUUUUCUGAUUUAUUUUGAAAUGUUUGGGUUACUUCUAGAUUCAUAAUUAAUCCUUUUUGAAAGCCAUUAAUUUCAACUUUUUUGGUUUCAUUUUAUAGAAAUCACUCUUUUCCAAGAUGCAGCAUGAUCCAAAGCUCAUUUAAAUUAAAAAUGAACUCAAAGUACUUAGAGGUUUGU